UACGAAGGGUGCAAGCGUUAAUCGGAAUUACUGGGCGUAAAGGGCGCGUAGGUGGCCUGUUAAGUCGGACGUGAAAUCCCCGGGCUCAACCCGGGAACUGCGUCCGAGACUGGCAGGCUCGAAUCCGGGAGAGGGAUGUGGAAUUCCAGGUGUAGCGGUGAAAUGCGUAGAUAUCUGGAGGAACACCGGUGGCGAAGGCGGCAUCCUGGACCGGUACUGACGCUGAGGCGCGAAAGCCAGGGGAGCAAACGGG
rnacentral:rRNA from 1 species